rnacentral:rRNA from 1 species
GACGAACGCUGGCGGCGUGCUUAACACAUGCAAGUCGAACGGAAAGGCCCUGCUUUUGCGGGGUGCUCGAGUGGCGAACGGGUGAGUAACACGUGAGUAACCUGCCCUUGACUUUGGGAUAACUUCAGGAAACUGGGGCUAAUACCGGAUAGGAGCUCCUGCUGCAUGGUGGGGGUUGGAAAGUUUCGGCGGUUGGGGAUGGACUCGCGGCUUAUCAGCCUGUUGGUGGGGUAGUGGCUUACCAAGGCUUUGACGGGUAGCCGGCCUGAGAGGGUGACCGGCCACAUUGGGACUGAGAUACGGCCCAGACUCCUACGGGAGGCAGCAGUGGGGAAUAUUGCACAAUGGGCGGAAGCCUGAUGCAGCAACGCCGCGUGCGGGAUGACGGCCUUCGGGUUGUAAACCGCUUUCGCCUGUGACGAAGCGUGAGUGACGGUAAUGGGUAAAGAAGCACCGGCUAACUACGUG